GACGACUUACUUUCUGAAACCCUCACCUUGUGCUGCUCGUGCUGAGCGCCUUCCUAGCUGGCCUCACUCUGUCCCUUGGCUCCGGUGGGACGCAGCCUGCUAGCUGUCACUCAUCUGCCGCAUUCUUCCUCAUCCCGGCCUCCCUAGAGCGCAGCCUCCCCUGGCCCGGCUCGUAGGCCCUGGCCAACCCGGCCCCCGCUUCCUGGCUGCUCUGAACCCGCCUCUCUCUUAGGUCACUGGGACCUAAUUCUUGCCCUCACGUGACUGACCCUUUCAGUUCAAUCAGCAACCACUCCUGCCUUCCAGAAGCCCCUUUCUUGUCACCUCCAAUAACAUGCUUCUGGGUUUUUCUCUCUGACCAUCCUUCUCUGCCUCCCUCGUGAACGCCGUCAGGGCCUGUCCCAUAAGUGCUCUGUGUCCGCUCAGCGCUGACCCUGCGCCGCACAGCCCUCCAGCCGUCUCACCCACUCCUGGCCCUGACCUUGAGUCCCUCCAGCCCUUACCCUCUGCGCCGGCUGAACCUUUGUGCAUGGACAUCCUGGCUAUCUGCUCACUCAAAACCUAGGCUUCCCCAGACGCCUCGCUCAUUCCAUGUCCACUGCCUGAGUCGUGACAGCUGUUCACCUGCCUCCCAGGCAGGAAACCACGAGUCAGUGGUCAGGGCCCUUGCUGGGGCAGGAAGCCCCAUCAGUCCGUUCAGCUCCAUCCCUGUGGUGACAUCUGGCUCAGGCCUCAGCCUCGCAUCCUGACCACUGUGGCCACAGCCCCCAAGUCCUCCCCCGGCUCCCCCACAAUCCAUCCCCCUUACAACCACAGGGCUACCGUGACCAAGGGCACUGCCUGCUGAUGCUGGCCUGUCGUGUGUCCUCCCAAAGGCAUGGCCGGCCCUUCCCAGCGCACAGCUGAUCCAUGUGAGAGCGGUCAGGGCAGAGGCCUGGAAGGGGUACAGAGAAUUGCUGUCAUUUGAAAAUAGCCAGGGCCUAGCACAUAUUACCCAAAAAAGUUAUACAAGAAAAUAUUUACAAGGCAAAAAUAGAAAAGGGAUUGCAACAUGGAAAAGAAAGGACAAAAUUCACACCCAGAAAAAUGAGAGAAUUGUGCUUUGUGAAAGGAGCUGGGUGAUGAGAAGUGGGGCCCACGCAGACUAUUGAGCGUGCCCUUCCCAGAACCACCAGCAGGGGGCGGCCCAGAGCAAUGCUCCUUUUACUCUCUCAAGUUUGUUUGUUUGUUUGUUUUUUGUUUUUCCCUCUUCAUUCAUUUUUGGCUGCCAGGCGGCAUGUGGUGUUCCUGGGCAAGGGAUCAGAGCCGAGCCCCACUUGUGACCCAGGCCGCAGCUGUGGCAACCCUGGAUCCUUAACCCACUGUGCCAGGCCAAGGAUUGAACCUGCAUCCUGGUGCUUCCAGGACACCACAGACCCCACUGCGCCACAGCGGGUGCCCCUCUCCCAGGAUUUUUUUAAGGCUCGUUGUAGAAUAUAAAGGUAAAGGAGAAAACGAAACCGUUCACUGCCGUCUGUGCCCUGAAACCCCGCGUCUCUCCCUCCUAGUCUCCGUAAAGGUACAUAGUUGAGGUGAUGCUGGGCGCGCGUGUUUCCCUGACUUUACAUCUCGGGCACAUCCUGGUGCUCUUAGGUCUGUGCCCCUUUAUGCCACGGCUUUCUAAUGCCCCAUCGUCUUAUUGCCCAUACUUACUCUUUUAUGGUGUCUUGUGGGGUUGUUUGGGCCUGUUAAGGGGAGACGUAGGUGGAAUAACCACUGAAGCUUGGUCAAAUUCGGCUGAUCGCAGGGGCGGGGGCUGCAGUAUCGGGUCUGGGUCAGGAGGACACGCCCCAGCGGCGAAGAAGAGGAAAGACACGGGAAAGUGGCUCGAUGGGACAGAUGCGUUCAGAGGGUGAGGCGACCGCGUGUGUACGGGCACGGAGGAGGAGCCGGGCUGGGCCGGAACCGGCCGGCGGAGCGGGACGCCUGAGAUGGAGCCGGUCCUGCGGCAGGUGGGGGGAGGGGAACGCCCGCGGCGAUGGCGCUGCAGGUGCGCGAGGAGCAUCCGCCGGGAGGAAGCUGAGGACACGGCUUCAGGUGGACCCACCUGACAUGGCCGAGAGGGAGUGGGGUUGGCGGAACACGUGUAUCAGACGUUCUGUGGUCGUGAACCCCAGGCUUCACGGCAACACCAGAUCCUUAACCCACUGAGCAAGGCCAGGGAUCGAAUCCACAUUCUCAUGGAUGCUAGUUGGGCUCAUUAACCGUUGAGCCACUACGGGAACUCCUGUGGCAAGUUUUGCUCAGUUUCAAGGUCCCUGCUGUGGUGCAGGUUUGAUCCCUGGCUCAGAAACUUCCACAUGCCAUGGGCAUAGCAGAAAAUGAAAAACUUUUGGAAUUCCCUUUGUAGCUUAGUGGAAACAAAUCUGACUAGCAUCCGUGAUGACACAGGUUCGAUCCCUGGCCUCGCUUAGUGGGUCAGGGAACCAGCGUUGCUGUGGCUGUAGUGAAGGCCAGCAGCUACAGCUCUGAUUCAACCCUUAGCCUGUGAAUCUCCAUUUGCUGUGAGUUCAGCCCUAAAAAGACAAGAUAGAAAAAAAAAAAA
rnacentral:lncRNA from 1 species